CUCUUUCUUUCUUUCAUUUUUCUUUCUCUCCUCUCUUUCUUUUCUCUUCCUUUUUGCAGCCUCUUGUUGGAAGGGUGACUGCAAAAUUUCGUUACUUUUUCUCUUUUUCUCUUUCUUUCUUUCAUUUUUCUUUCUCCGCUCUCUUUCUUUUCUCUUCCUUUCUGCAGCCUCGUGUUGGAAGGGUGACUGCAAAAUUUCGUUACUUUUUCUCUUUUUCUCUCUUUUUCUUUCUUCCAUUUCCUCCUCCUUUCUCUCUCCUCUUUUUCUUUUCUUUUCUUUCUCUGUUUUUUUAAGGUAAUGGAAGCAGCUCAAUGGGAAAAAAACAAAGAUAAAAAAAUAUUGCCCGUUGAAUGCUGCUCCUGCCAGUGAAAUCAGACUUGAGUGGCCGAAGAGACACUCAAUUUUAGAUAGAGUUCAGACUUGAGUGAGCAAAAGAGCCACUCAAUUUUGGAUAGAGAGUUGUCUUAAUCUUCCCUUCCCUCAGGUUCUGUUUCAAGGGUGGAGCGUAACCAUGCCAAUCUUCAUUAUCGUGUAGGAAAAAAACAAAGCAUUCCAAUCACUCGUGUGGGAAGCAUUGUUCUAUCUGCCUGUCUCUCUUCCAGGUCACCACUGUCCCACCUCCCCUGAUGACAUGAGAGCCUUUGCCGGAGCAGGAUGGAGCACACUAACACCAGACAGAGAAAGAAGAAGAAGAAGUAGAAGUAGAAGAUGAGGUAGAGCCUUUGCCGGAGCAGGAUGGAGCACACUAACACCAGACAGAGAAAGAAGAAGAAGAAGUAGAAGUAGAAGAUGAGGUAGAGCCUUUGCCAGAGCGGGAUGGAGCACACUAACACCACACAAAGAAGAGGAAGAAGAAGAAAGGUGGAGGGAUGUUAGGAAAGGCCUUCGUCUCACAGCGGACUUAUAGAAAAAGAAACAGAAGAAGAAGAAGAAGGAGAAAGGUCUUUGUUCUGCAGUGGACUAGUAGUGACUGAUGAUGGUGAUGAUGGUGAUGAUGGUGAUGAUGGUGAUGAUGGUGAUGAUGGCCCACCACUUCUGUCAUCAACACCAACUCUUCACCUCAGCUGCUUGUGACGCAGGUUGCGUUGAGGCAGGGAGCAUCAGGGAGGAGAGAGUGCGUGGUCGUCAAGAGAGGGACUUUCAUAUGAGCUUGUCUGGACCCACAAGAGAAAAUACGGACAUUAAGCAAAAAGAAUUAGAAGAUGAAUAUGGAAGAUGGCGAGUGGCUGAGUGCCCCGUAUCUAUGGCUUAUGUGUGUGUGUGAAAGAGUGAGCCAGAGAGAUUGAUGGGAGAAUAAGGGAACAGUAGUAGUAGUAGUAGUAGUAGUAGUAGUAGUAGUAGUAGUAGUAACAAAGCCAUAGCAGGAAUCAUCUUACCAAAAGAGACAUCAAAUUCAGACUGAUAAUGACUAUAUAUUUAAUUUUUCUUUUCACAAUUUUCAUUUUUUUUCUAAGGUUUUCAGGAAUUUGGUAUUUAGUAUUCCACAAUCAUUCCUUUUUUUUCCCACAAUCUUCAUAUUUUUCAAGGUUUUCAGGUCAAUGGUUUUCUUUUCUUACAUGUAUAUUUUUGUCACUCAGGUAAUAACAUUGUCCCUGUGUUGAGGGUCGCCAAAUUCUCCUAUUCUGUGGCUCUGAGUAGUAGUAAUAGUAGUAGUUGUAGUAGUAGUAGUAGUUGUAGUAGUGUAGGCUGACCAGUUUGUACGCACCAUUCCAGUUACUAUUUGGUUCUCAUCCACUCCUGGGCCAAGGUUUUAAGAUCAAGUUCUGUCAAAAGUUAGAUUUUUAUAUUUUACUAUUUAAUCUUUACAUGUAUCCUUCUCUCCACAGUGUUGGCCAAGGCAUAAAAAUUUAACUCUUCAUUCUACUUCCUACACUGCGGUUUAUCUGAUAAGCAUAAUUAAUACUCUAAGGUUUCUGCACUUUUGAAAACAGUCCUGAAAUUGUACAUAAUGGAUAGAAAACUUGCAGAAAUAGCAACAAAAACCAAGAAGUAUGUAUUAAAAUAAGCCUAAAAUAGGUCUAAAAAACUGUACUAAGUCGAAGAUACCAAAAGGAGGCUCCGGGAAGAGCCGGGAACAUAUUUCCUUGAAUCAAACACAAGGAGUGUCCUCAGCGGCAUAUUUAUUGAGCAGCCUUCCAGACACACAAAACAAAAUAUAUUACAAGAAACCCUUGAACAAUAAAAUUAAAUAUUGAAAACAAACAAAUAUGAUGGUUUGGUUCAUGUUCUCAAGACCGAUGGAUUACUGAGGGAGUUAAAAAAAUCUUAAUUCUGUUGCAGGCACGCUGGGGACUUGCGAGCCCCAGGCAGGACAGGCGGGUCCUACCACAGCGGCUGCAGGGGAAGUUUUGAUCACUUUUUCCUGCUCCUCUUCACUGGCCCUUUGGUUGUCUGCAAAGGCGGCCGCCUGGUGAACCAUGCGUUGCCAGUGGUCGCUGUCACCAGCUGUUGCUGCAGGAAGUGGUGAGGCAAGUCACCAAGGAGUCUGAACCUCGUCUGUGGGGCCCUCGGCACGGUGACCAGACGCUGCACCACACAGAGUGAUGCUUGGCAGAGGUGAUCCUCAAGACGUGCCGUGCCAAGCCCAGUUGUAUCCUCAAGAGCAUGACCUCCAUGCUGGUGACCUUCGCCACGUCCAAGGCUUUGGUGUCUGACAAGGCUGCUCCAGUUGCUGCCAGGCUGGUGCAGAGGCAGUGCCGGUAGAAAUACUGCAGGAGGUGCCGGGGACAUUGGUGACCCAGGACUGCACCACACAGGAGGGGGUCAGCAUGGCAGCUCUGUGGACGCUGGUCUUUGUCUUGAGAUGACUUGGUCUAGACACGUCUGCCAAAGGCACUGUUUUUGUUGGCUGCUUGUUGCCCGCCUGUGACCGCUGCUGCCGGGUGUCUGGGAGGCUUCAAUACACAUACCAGUGAGACACUCACACUUGUUUCUUUAAAAACUAUAUGCCUGCAGUGUUCCUCCGGAAGCUUUCUGAAGUAUUAUUGACUUAGUACAGAUUUUUUAGACCUAUAUGUAUGUAUUUCCAGCAGUUUUAUCAUGCAUAGAAAUAAUAUUAAUAACAAAUGGACAACCAAAGUAACAAGUGACAACCCAGGAAUCAUGGAAGUCAGGACAGACAGAGGGCCAGGGGGGGAGGGGUGGAAGUAGAGCAUUUGCCAGGGCAGGACGGAGCAGACCAGCACCAGGCGGAGAGAGAGGUGGAGAAUGUUGGACAAGCCCUUUGUCCUGCGGUGGAGUGGUACUGGCUGAAGAUGAUGAUAAAUACAUGUCAGUCUCCCACAGUGUGCUUCAUGUGAUGAGCACCAAUUGGAAUGGCUGUUAUGUACACAGACUGGCGGGUGUCUGGUGACCUGAUGCCCUGUGCAGUCUGUCACUAACAAGGCUCACUCUAUGGCAACACCUUCAUUGUUACCUUCCUGUUAACCUGCUUCUGGUGGCAGCAUGUUUUUAACUUUAAAAAAAUUAACAAUCAGUUAUAAAAAGUUUAAAGUAUAUAUGAAUGCAUUUAUAACUGGCUGUGGCUGAAAACACCUGCAAGGAGUGACACAGCCGAAGGUGUCUGUACCAUUUUGUGAGCCUUGUGACACACUGGAACAGACUCAAGAGAAGCCGCUGAGAAAAGCCGAGGCCCAGACCCGACUCAUCGUCUGGUGCGGCCACAAAGCCAGAGCACUCAUCUACAGGGUGAGGCCAUGCACACUGCCUGUUCAGGGACACAUUCCAACUCGUAAGACAUGAAAAAAUGCCACACUUGGGAAAAUUUAGCAUCAACUACAGCAUAAGUUAAUUAAUCCAUUUUUUUUUUACAUAUUUUCUGUAUACUCCAGAUUACAGAAGACUUAUUUUUCGCACUUAACUUCCUGCCUUCAAGAAUUCAACAGUUUCUUGCAGAGGUCAUAAUUUAGUUUCCAUGACUUUGGACAGCACAAAGUUAAGACAGGUGGAUUAGUGGACCUUUGCCGGCCUGUAAAAAUAAUAAUAAACUACUUCUUAAUCUCCUAUUUUGACAAUGGUUCACUUUCAUGUUUGGACAGUACAAAGUUUUAACAGGUAGAUUAGUGGAGUUUCGCUGGACUAUAAAAAUGAUAAAAAAGUACUUCUCAAUCUCCUAUUUUGACAAUGGUCCACUUUUAAGUUUGGACAGUACAAAGUUUUAACAGGUAGAUUAGUGGAGGUUCGCUGGACUAUAAAAAUGAUAAAAAAGUAC